rnacentral:tRNA from 10 species
GCCCCGUUGGCACAAUUGGUCAGCGCGUGAGACUUUUAAUCUCAAGGUUGUGAGUUCGAGCCUCACACGGGGCG